rnacentral:lncRNA from 1 species
CUGUACCGAACUGUAAUCUUUAUCAGAUAACUGUUGGAUUUUAUUUUUCACCUUCCGGGUGUCAGAAUGACAUGAAACUUUAAAUCUAGCCUCAUAAAAAUAAUUUUGGUUCAUCCUCCAGUUUUCAUAAUUUUCUGACAUUGUACAUUUCUGCUAAUUUAUCUGUCCCGUUUCCGACAGAAAAUUCUAAAUCUUCUGUUUUUAUUCCGAUUUCAGCACAAGUCACCUCUGACUUAUGUUUUACUUCUCUAAAUCCAAUAAAAAUAGUAUCUCACACUAUUUUUAUUUUUAUAUCAAAAUCCGGUAUAUUACACCUUCUGUCUUGGCUCCCGAAAGGUGAUCGAUUU